GGGGCAAGCAGUGCCACCCAUGUUAUCUAGAAAAUCAUAGAGGAAGUUGGUCAUGUGACCACAUAUUUUUGAAAAGGCAUCCAUUUCACUCAUCCUGCAAAGAAGGGAGACACAUGGCUUGAGAGGUUAGCAGCUCAUGCUCACCUGAUGUCCUUUUGGAGGCUGAUACGCCAACAGCACAUCAGCUGUUAUGUGUGACCAGAGCACAGCAAGAGCAAGAGUCACACCUCGACUGUUGUUCAUCUGUGCAUUCUCCUGAAGACACACUGACUAUGUUUACACGGACUGCAAUAUUCUGUUAUUAACCCGAUUAAUACUUGUCAGGUUAUUGAAAGGUUUUUUCAUCAUCUAUACACCUUAAUUUUAAUAUGACAUUGUUACUGAGUUUUUGCAGCAGAUUGCAGGACAUAUGGCAAACCAACUACUUGGAUCCUAGUGUUCUUUUAAUGACUUUUAUAUUGAAUCCAUGAACUUGUGUGCUGGAGAAGAUGACAACACUUUUGUGGUGAGGCAGAAACUCAGUGCAUGUUAAAUAUUUUCUGUGAAAUGGACAUAUCUUAUGUGGUGCUUGGUAAAGCCAGGCUAAAUCAUGUUAUGCACUGCAGCCUAUAAAUGGGAAUAUGAAUGGAGUAGCCCUUCCCACAGACUCUAUGGGUGACGAGGAGAUCCUGAAGCGAUCUGGUAUCAUGGCUCUCCUCAAGCUCCCUGUUUGCUUUUAUAUCGCUGGAAUUUAAUGCAUAUAUUCUAAUCUUUUUACAGUGCACAUUAUGUAAGCACUUUUUGCUUGGAGCCAAACAAUUGAACCAGCAACAUACUGAUUGUCAGAUGAUCUGCUCUACAUCUGCAUGUAACUUAUAUUUUCAUUGUUUUUACAUUAUAUUGCCCUUACAAGACCUCUUGUUCAGUGGUCUUAUUUUACAAAAAAAAGAAAAAGAUCCAUCAUACUUUGUAGCUUUACAGUGUAUUGCUGUCAAAAUAGACGUUUGCAGUGAGGAUUCAUUUUUUUCAAUGAUCUGUUCAACUGUUUAUUAACACUACACUGAACACUAAUAUAAAUUUCUGAAAAUUAAAACUGCCAGCGAUUC